AGUCGUAACAAGGUAACCGUAGGUGAACCUGCGGUUGGAUCAUUAUUUAUCUGUCUGAAUGAAGUUGGGCUUUAGCUCAACUGAAUGAAGACCAAAUAAUGUCUUUUAACCCCGACUGUAACUAGAAGGGGUUAGAAAACAACCACACCAAUGUGAAAUGUAAACUAACUUGACUCUUUGGUCUUGAACUUUGGUUCUAAGCCCAGGAGAGACUAUAAAACACCAUAUUAAACCCAAGUACCAAACAUUCUAGUAGUAGAAUAAAAAACAACUUUUGACAACGGAUCUCUUGGCUCUC
rnacentral:misc_RNA from 1 species